UUCUCGUGGAAAGACCUCCGAAGGGAAACCCUCACUCAAGUCUCGGGAUAAUAGCGGACCCCCAAGAACUCACGAGAGACC
rnacentral:pre_miRNA from 7 species